rnacentral:rRNA from 1 species
UAACACAUGCAAGUCGAACGGAUCCUUCGGGAUUAGUGGCGGACGGGUGAGUAACACGUGGGAACGUGCCCUUUGGUUCGGAACAACUCAGGGAAACUUGAGCUAAUACCGGAUGUGCCCUUCGGGGGAAAGAUUUAUCGCCAUUGGAGCGGCCCGCGUCUGAUUAGCUAGUUGGUGAGGUAAAGGCUCACCAAGGCGACGAUCAGUAGCUGGUCUGAGAGGAUGAUCAGCCACAUUGGGACUGAGACACGGCCCAAACUCCUACGGGAGGCAGCAGUGGGGAAUCUUGCGCAAUGGGCGAAAGCCUGACGCAGCCAUGCCGCGUGAAUGAUGAAGGUCUUAGGAUUGUAAAAUUCUUUCACCGGGGACGAUAAUGACGGUACCCGGAGAAGAAGCCCCGGCUAACUUCGUGCCAGCAGCCGCGGUAAUACGAAGGGGGCUAGCGUUGCUCGGAAUUACUGGGCGUAAAGGGAGCGUAGGCGGACUGUUUAGUCAGAGGUGAAAGCCCAGGGCUCAACCUUGGAAUUGCCUUUGAUACUGGCAGUCUUGAGUACGGAAGAGGUAUGUGGAACUCCGAGUGUAGAGGUGAAAUUCGUAGAUAUUCGGAAGAACACCAGUGGCGAAGGCGACAUACUGGUCCGUUACUGACG